GUCGGUUCUACCCGAAGUGGUUGAGCUAACCCGCAGGGGGGCAGACUCCUAAGGUAGGGCUGGUGAUUGGGGUGAAGUCGUAACAAGGUAGCCGUAGGUGAACCUGCAGAAGGAUCA
rnacentral:rRNA from 1 species